UAGAAGCUGGUACAUGUACAGCACAGGAUC
rnacentral:piRNA from 1 species